UACGUAGGGGGCUAGCGUUGUCCGGAAUCAUUGGGCGUAAAGAGCGUGUAGGCGGCCCGGUAAGUCCGCUGUAAAAGUCAAAGGCUCAACCUUUGAAUGUCAGUGGAUACUGCCGGGCUAGAGUCCGGAAGAGGCGAGUGGAACUCCUGGUGUAGCGGUGGAAUGCGCAGAUAUCAGGAGGAACACCGGUGGCGAAGGCGGAUCUCUGGGCCUUACCUGACGCUGAGGCGCGAAAGCGUGGGGAGCGAACAGG
rnacentral:rRNA from 1 species